GCUAAAUAUCUGAAAUGAAGUAGCAGUAGUAGCGACUGAGUGUAACCUACAUUGGCUGGUAGACUAGGUGGAAAGGAAAGUGUGCGUUACACGUAGGACGACGAUGAACAACGACAACAACGACAACGGUAACAAAGUCGUUGUCGUCGUCGUAGUCGUCCUCGCCGACGACGACGACGAGGACGAGAAGAAGGGUAUAUACGAACUCGCAUAUCGUAGGUAGAUGGAUGCUGUACACACGUAUAUACAUCAUAGAUACAUUGAUACACGUAUACAAGCUCGAUCAAGGCACCGUAGAUGAGCGAGAGUCCGUAGGAGAGAAGGUAGGUGGUUCGGUUCCGGUGCGGGCCAUUAGUUGAUGAGCUACCUCGUUUUCGUCCCCUCCCGAGGCCGAGAUUCGCGCCAGUGCCGCCGACGACGGCGUGCCACCCUCUUCUCCUCGCUCGCGCGACUACAUCGAGAAGCUCUCCACCAUCUACGGGAGGAGGCCCUGUGAAAAGCUCGCGUGCCAUUGUGGGAUCUAUUAUUGCUCUCCUGGACUUACAUGUUUCGAUGCAGUGCCGGUAAACUCAGCCAACCAACCAUCCAACCAACCAACCAACCAACCAACCAUCCAACCAACCAACCAACCAUCCAUCCAUCUAACCAACCAAACAACCAAGCAACCAACCAACCAGUCAGUCAGUCAGUCAGCUAGACGAGCAAGAGAGCGAGUAAGCGGACGCGCAACCGAUAAAAACACCGAAGCAAACGAACCUCUUUUUACGAAGAAAGUGGAAGGAAGUCUACGGGCGUGAACAUAAAAUGGCCGACCGAGAGAGCUGCCUGGCGAUAGGAUAGGUAGCUUUCAGGAGAAAGGAGAAAUCUAUGCAGGAGUGGUCGAACGGAUGGGUCCUCCGCUACGUUUACCACGUUUUUUACAUUAUUCAUGGGGUUCGCGGACCGUAGAGUUAUGUAGAAGAAGUAGCGGCCGAGGAGGGUGGGCGGAACGGUGUACGCGCGAGAUACGAGACCGGAGUGGAAAUCACGAAAGUCCUGUGGGUGCUCUGGAUUCGCCCCUUCUAAUCUCGUCUCCUUGGUUUCGCCCUCCGGCUUCGUCGAGCGGAUGAGAAGUAGGAGGAGGAAGGAGGAGGAGGAGGAGGAGGAGGAGGAGGAGAAGUAGUAGAAGUAGUAGAAGAAGAAGAAGAAAAAGUAGAAGAAGAAGAAGUAGAAGAGAAGAAGUAGAAGAAGGAGAAGGAGAGAUCUCACCCUUACCACUCAGAGGGUAGAAGGAAGCCGGGGUUGCAAACGGAGAGUGAGUGAGAGAGAAAGAGAGAAAAGAGAGAGAGAGAGAGAGAGAGCAAGUCGAUGGAGCGAGAAGAGAAGGUGCUUUAAAGGGUAGCGAACGCCUCGACAAAAGCAACCCUCUUAAAGUUCGCUCUACGCUCUGCCUACCAAUGCGAUUUCGAAUUCGGAUUCCGCGUGCCAGAUUUUCCGAAAAGGAAUCUACGAAUCUCUCGAUGGAUAGAGAAGGGACGGGAGAUGUGCUUGAAAAGAGUAAUCCUAAGGAAAAUAAGAAACGUCUAAUGGAUUAUCUUUAAUUUCGUUGAAGGAAUCGGCCAAACUUAUUCGAGAGAGAGAGAAAUAGAUAGAUAGAUAGAUAGAUAGAUAGAAAAAGAGAGAUAGAAAGAGAAUAGUUUUAACGAUAUCAAGUGGAACCUCAGAGCCAUUUCGUUCAACGAAAUAGCCGUCGAGUUUUUCACUGGUGAUAAGAGAAUAAGGAAAACGUAGUGAAGUAAACAAAAAGGAAAAAAAAAGAGAUGAGAGAAAAAAGGCAAACAAAAAAAAAAGAAAAAGAAAAAAGAGGAAAGAGAGAGAGAGAGAGAAAGAAAGAGGAAAAGGGACUAGCAGAGGGGAGCAAAUCGCGAGAACGGGAGCCCGCGAGUGUCGCCCGCUCUAAUCUUCGGCGCGAGAGGAGCGAGCCCUAAUCCAGCUUAUCCAGAAAGUAAUUUUGAGUCUUUUGAAAGCGACCGUCUGGCCCCCAUCUCCCCGUCGUCCCCCUCUGAUCUCACUCUCUCUCUCUCUCUCUCUCUCUCUCUCUCUCUCUUCGUCCACGAAGAAAUCCCAACUGGGCGAAGAGAGAGAGAGAGAGAAAGAGAGGAGACAGCUCGAAACCCGCUUCCGCGAGGACGGGACUUCGAAGAGGACUCUGGAGAAGGAGUCUGGAGGAGAACUCUGGUAGGAGGACCAUCGUCGUCAUCUCUGCACAAACUUUUCUUCCUAUCGUACUAUUACUACCUACCUCGUCCUUUCUCUAUCAAUCUCGUAACCUUUCUUUCCUCAUCUUGCUCGAGUAAAUUAGCAAAGGCGAGAAGAGAUGGACUAUUCUUUCAUACUUCUUACGAGAAGAUAAUAUCUAUUGGGAGAGGGGUUAAAACGAAUCGGAUUAAUUUUUUUUCUUUUUUUUUUUUUUUCUUUUUUUUCAACGUAGCUAAGUAACAUACCCCAUCCAUCUAUCCUAUCUCUAAUUUUAUUCCGGUGAAAUCGUAGAAUCGGCAUUUGCCAUGAUCUCGUUAUUUAAAUGAUUAAUAAUUUUUCUUAAAGAUCUGAUCGUUUUUCGUCGAUAUUAAAAUCGACAGGACAAAUGAAUAAAUCGAUAUAUGUAUAUUAUACUACAGUAUCGUUUUAAUGACGGUUACCCGAUUAAUCGUGAAAAAUUUCCAUUUCCGGAUAAAAAUAAAGGAUCCCCUGCGAAAUAUAUUUCCAUCCUCUCGGUUGGUAGGCCGAGUAUUCGGCAUCAAAAUGGCAAAUAAUCAUCGAGCAAUGGCCGACAGAGACCGAGAGUGCGGGCGAAUGCGUCAGAAACACAUCGAUUAGGAGAGACGAGGAGAGAGAGAGAGAGAGAGAGAGAGAGAGAGAGAGAGAGAAAGAGAGAGGGAGAGUGAAUGCAGGAAGGAGGGAGGGAAGGCAAAAGAGAGGGAGAGUGCAUCGUGUGCUGGAAUAUUUCGAGAGUACUCGACGCAUUGUCACUCUGGGGGCCUACACUUGGUCCACCCUCUCGACGAUUCGAAGCCACCCCGAUGCGGGGAUGGAUGCUAUAACGUUAUACGUUUGGUACUUAUACAGGGUGUCGUAUUGCUAUCAUUUCGUAUUUUUACAUUUUCAAACGAACAAUUUAAUUCGAAUUAAGAUCUAUUUAAAAAUAUAAAAGUAUCAUUAGCAUUUGACAACGAAUUUCUCGUCGUUAACGAUUUAAUAUCGGAUAAACGUGAAUGGUUCAUCUGAUUUGCGAUUAAUUCUUUAAAAUAAAUGAAAGAAAAAAAGGAAAAAUAAAUAAAUGAAACAAGAAACUUUUUCCAUUCGAAAUAUCAAGUCCUUUAAAAUUGCGAGUAUCAAGAAUCCUAAGUGAAGACAUUUUGGGAUCGUUAAUAUCCAUAACAUGACGAUUAAAAAAUUUGCAAACAGAAAUAAAUAUAUUCAAUGCUUAUAGAGAUCACGUAUUGAAGAAAAGAAAAAGAAAAGAGAAAAGAGAAAAGAAAGAGAGAAUAAUGAAAGAAAAAAAAGUAAUAACAGUUAUGAAAUCGAAUGCAGUCGUAUGUAUAGAUGUCCGAGAGACAGACUAACGAGGAGAACUAUUCGAAGCCGCGUUCCCAAUUUAUUCAAGCUCUCCUGGAAUUUAUCAGACAUAGUCGCGGUAGGUGAGAUAGGAUGAAGAGAGGCGAAGUGGGGUCGGCCGGUUGGUCGAUUCACCAAAUGCUACACGCUCGAACGCAACAUCCACGGCACACGGACACCCAGUAUAGAUACACGAAGGUGUAUCUAUGGAGGCAUGCGUAGCUAUUACCUAGACCACGUAGGCGGUCGUAUAGUACAUAUGUAGAAAGUAUAUAUAUAUAUAUAUAUAUACAUACAUAUAUAUAUAUAUAUACAUACAUAUAUAUAUAUAUAUACACAUAGAUAUGUAUGUAGUGAGUGAAAUAGCCGGGGUGCGCGUACAUAGUCGUUGCUCUCGCAGGUACGUAUACCUCUACAGAGAGCGAGAGAUCCAACCGUCCUCCGGCUUUCCUCCACCCGCUGAACCAUCACUGUUACUCUCUCUCUCUCUUGCUCUCUCUUAUUCUCUCUUACUCUCUCUCUCUCUCUAGUUCUCUCGCUCUGUCGGUUGGUCUGGGUAGGUAGCUUCUCGUAUUAUAUACGUAGCGAAGGCUGGAGGGUCCUCACCGCCGCAACAUUACGCUGAUUGCCUGAAUUAUCCGCAACCAGUUCGUCUGUAUGUGCGUUCAUGCGCGCGCGCGCGUUCGCAUACAGAACAUUGAGAUAGGGAGUAUGAGUAAAAGGAGAGAGAGAGAGAGAGAGAGAGAGAGAGAGAGAGAGAGAGAGAGAGAGAGAGAGAGAGAGAGAUAGAUAGACAGACAGACAGACAGACAGAGAGAGAGGGAGGGAGAAACACGUAGCAACAUCGAAGCGUAGGUGUAGGAACGUUGCGAGUCUCGAGCGCUUCUCGCGCGAGAGAAACUCGCCCGGCGCGUAGUACCUCACGUGUUCAUAUAGAUAUAUAUCCAUACGUUGUAUAAGCACGUACGUAUGUAUGUGUCUUCUACGUAAUAUGUACAAGUAAUACGAGAGUAUACCGUGAAGGAGGCAACAGGAAGGUUUACGAGGAGAAAAUUGAAAACGGUGCUGCGCGCGAGCGUGGAAGACGAUAGCUUAUACGGUGCGUUCAUGAAGGUGGAAUAAUGAUUCGAGACGGGAAACACGGAAAUUCUCUCGUCGCUUCGUCGCUUCUAACCUAUUCUUAAGAGUUAGCCGUUACCGUUUUUAUUGCCUUUGUUAAUUGCGCAUUUAUUAAAUUCACCUUUUUAUCCCUUUUAUUCGCGUGGUCGAUAUUAACACUCAUGAUACUCAUUUUUUUUUUUUUAAAUCGCAAUACUAUCCUACAUCGAAUGUUAAUCCCAAUGAGAAAUUGAUAAACGUACGAUUUGAUACCAUCGGUUUUAAUUUGGUGUUCGUCGAACUGAUUAAUGAAAACAAAAAAAAAAAAAAGAAAAGAAAAGAAAAAAAAGAGAGAAAAACAAAGAAAUAAGAAGAAAGAAAAAAGAAAAAUUCCACGGGUCAUACCAAGUCAGAUUGAACGUUGAAGAAGCAACGAAUAUAUAUGCGAUGAUCGAAGGGAGGAAUGAACGAGAUGAGUGACUCGUUGGAAGCACCCUCUUUGUCGUACCCAUAGCCAUGGUCAUGAAUUCGCUUUUGCAGUUCUGUGUCGCUCGUCGUCGUUCGUCGCGGCACGACGAAAGAGAUGGAGACGCAAGGGCGGUGAAGGGUUAAGGACGCGUAUCAUAACGCUUGAUUAAUGUACGUCACCCAUCCCCUUUCUGUCUAUCAUUCCCCUCUUUUCCUCCUCACCUUCCAUCUCUCUCUUUCUCUCUCUGUCUCUCGCUCACAUAGCGAUUACAGUUUGGAUAUGCUUGUAGUUCGUUAUCAAUGUUUCUAUACGUUUAUAAAAAUUAAUAUUUGACGAACGUCAGAAAAUAUCAAGUUUUUUUUUUCUUCCUUUCUUUUUUCGUUUUUCCUUUUUUCUUUUUGCUUUGUUUUGUUUUGUUUCUUUUUGUUUUUUUUUUUUUUUCUUUUUUAUCGGAUAAGAACUGUCUUAAAUUUGUCGUUAUAGUUCUUACUAUAAUUCAUUCAAUGCGAUAAAUAUCACGAACAAGCUCUAUCGCCUUUUAAUUUUAUUAUUUCCACAACUAGACAGGAGGAAAAAAACGCUUGUCUUUUAUCGAUCGUAACCAUCGAUCAUGUUCCCGAGUUUGCCGACACGGAACGCAGAAAUCAACACUAUAUUUUGCGACUGUCACGGACAAAUCGAUCAACGAUCUCAACGGAUCGAGAUUAAAGCGGCCGCUCGGCGCCAAAACCUUUCGCGAGUUACGUUUUGUAAUCGACUUCGACUUUCACUUCCUAAAGAGCAUAGAAAAGUCUUAAUGGGAAGAUAUAAUAAUAAUAAUAAUAAUAAUAAUAAUAAUAAUAAUGAUAAUAAUGAUGAUAAUAAUGAUAAUAAUAAUGAUACACGUGAACGUAAUUUUCUUGGCGUUUAGUCGAAGCUCGUAGAUAAUAAAAAAAUAAAAAAUAAAAAAAGAAGUGGGGAAAAAAAAAGAAAACUCGAAAAAGAAAACAAAUGGGCGGAAGUACGCGUAACGAUCUCGACGCGAAGAAGAGAAAGGAGAUAGAAUAGGCAUUUCGAUGCCGGUGACACAGUGACACGGAACCUGUCGAGCGAAGCCAGCCAUUGGCUCGUUUCUGAUAAAUAGGACGCUACCGGGAACGGAGCCGCGAGCUUCGACAAUGGGGGUGCCGGAAGACCGGGGCAGCUUUAAUUUCCCCCCGCAGUUCCUGGCAAUUACAACGUGGCGCGUCCCGAUAACCAUCUCUAUCUCCGACCACAAUGCUCUCGAUUCCAACGCACCCUUCCGUCCCCGCCAAAGCCACCGUCCUUUCGUUUCUCUUUACGAUUUUUCUUUCACCGGACGUCGAACGCCUACGACUUUCAACGAUCGAGAUUCCCUCCCUUUUCUUUUCUCCUUUUGCUUUUCUUAUAUUACGCUUUCCUUUGUAUCCUCGUUACCUUUUCCGAUGUUCAUGAUUAUCGGCUAAUAACAACAACAACAACAACAACAACAACAACAACAACAACAACAACAACAACAACAACAACAAUAAUAAUAAUAAUACGAACAUGUUCGAAAUGUUUAGUAAUUAGCGGCGAUUCAAAAGAAAAGAAGAAAAAAAAAAAAUAAAAAAAAAAAGAAAAAAAAAAUAAAAACAAUAAAAAUAUAAAGAAAAUAUAUAGAUCAAUUUUCAACGAAAAUUUCAAUCGAACAUUAUCAUUUUAGAGAUUAUAAUAAUUUUGAACGUAUGAAGAAAAAGUAGAUAUGACGAGUCCGAAGUAUCAUCUCUUGCGCAUCGAAUUGUGUAUCGUAAAAUAAACCAUAGUAAGUAUUUGACGCUAGAAAGGUUGCAAGCGAAACACGACCGCUUUCGAUUUCUCGCUUUGGAGUAACUCUGUACGAAGCCCGACGAGUUCGAUUCCAGACUCUACCUUUGGUAAUCCCUGCACAACGCAAAGUGAUUUCACGUAGACAGAAUAAGUCUUCGUAGUUCUCUUUGAUCUCGAUUGUUUCGAUUAUCUCGAUCGUCACCAUAGGAAGACCCGAUAGACAUUGUUGUAAUUAUAACGGUGCUAAGCUCACCGGCACGAUAGGUGCAGAAAAGCUAUAACUACGGCUUCUUCCAAAGUUUUCAUGUACAUUAAACGAUGAUAAUAUCUCGAAUAGAUCGGUAUAACUCUAAAGAAAAUAACAUCCGAAAAUGUUAUAUUAAAUAGAUACGUAUAAUUAAUCUUUAAAUAUAAGAGAGUAUAAGUGUAAUCUUAUAAAUAAUUGUAAAAAUGGCAAUUAAUUAAUUAUUCGUAAAAAACGUUUGUUUAUCAAA